ACAUGCAAUUCAUCCACUAUUCCUUCGUUUCCACCGCCGAAGACAACCAUAAGUUCUUUGAUGGCCACAGCUCGGUGUCCGUGUCUGGGCCGGGGGACAGGACCAGACCAUCCCAGGACCCGCUUCCACCGCGGCUGCAGGACCGACACCCCGGAGCCCGGAACAGACAUGACUCUGUCGGCGGGAGAAAUAUUGCCCCGCCAUCUUUCGACGAUCGGCCUACUUCUACAGCUCCCACAAGAAAAAUGGCCGGGCGGUUUGCACAACAAAGCUUUACAGCGCUCAAAAACAAGUAUUUCCUCUCAUGCCUGCCUGGAAGCUGCCAUCUUCUUGACAACUAAAGGCGGAGGAAAAUGGAGAGUUGGCGUCACCCAAAUGCUCUAUGUUUGAAAACACACCAAGACAACACCGGGACUCCUGCAAUCAGACAUACUAAAACUUUUAACAAAUUACAGCAACUUGUAUCGUAUUGUAAAGGUUAUUGUCCCUUACUAAAGAUGGCGACGCUUGCACAGGAACCAAUUAAAAUUCAAUACAAUUUUGGGAGAACAGUAGACCUGCUUGUGUUUUUAGAGGCAUACUUUUGUUUGAUUCCAACCCGUUGUAGUUUAAAAAGAAUACAAUAAAAUAGGGUAAUAUUUCCAUUGUAGUUGGCGCAAUUUUACUCGGUUAACUUAGUGCAUCUCUGCGAUCAAACCAAUGGGCAACGCACAUAGUUAAUGCCACGCCCACAGUUCACAGCGCCCUCUACAGAUGGUUCUAACAUGGUCGUCAAGUAUGGCCAUAGACAUAAUAGACCAUAGACAUAAUAGACCAUAGACAUAAUGGAUUUAUUUUUUUGUUAUUAAUUUACUUAUCCUUUUGUCCAAAUUUUAUAUCCACAAAUGUAAAUAUUCCAAGCAGAAACCCAACUUUACAGAUUUUAAUAGUGAUACUCUUUGUAUAAAGAUUCUGGAAAGUUCUGAUAACAAAAAGUCUCUGAAAACUAUCAGUAUUUGUUCAAAAUACAAUAUAUUUGUAAAUGUAUAAUUGUACAAUUCUGUCAUACCCCCUGGCAUACUGUUUGUAUACAUUGUAUACUUAUUGCAAUAAAAUAUAUAUUUUUUAAAAACAUAGACAUAUUGGCAGUAAGGCAAGGGUG
rnacentral:lncRNA from 1 species